rnacentral:rRNA from 1 species
AUUGAACGCUGGCGGCAGGCCUAACACAUGCAAGUCGAGCGGAGCGGCGGACGGGUGAUUAAUGCCUAGGAAUCUGCCUGGUAGUGGGGGAUAACGUCCGGAAACGAGCGCUAAUACCCAAUACUCUCAGAUGAGCCUAGGUCGGUUUAGCUAGUUGGUGGGGUAAAGGCCUACCAAGGCGACGAUCCGUAACUGGUCUGAGAGGCGGAUCAGCCAAACUGGAACUGAGACACGGUCCAGACUCCUACGGGAGGCAGCGGUGGGGAAUAUUGGACAAUGGGCGAAAGCCUGAUCCAGCCAUGCGGCGUGUGGGAAGAAGGUCUUCGGAUUGUAAAGCACUUUAAGUUGGGAGGCGUUACCAACAGAAUAAGCACCGGCUAACUUCGUGCCAGCAGCGGCGGUAAUAC